UGCUGAAAUAUAUUUACUUGGCAAGUUUUGUACAAAUAUGCUGUGGGCAGGCUAUCACAACCAUAGAUGCCUCUUUUCCACAACAUGCGGAACUCUACAGUGCACAGAGAAUAUCCUGUAGCAUAGCUGGAACACUGAAAACUGGUGUUCAGUGGAUCAGGCCUGAUGCUCUUUUGGUAUCUUCAUGUGCAGGUGCUACAAAUUGUCUGCCAGAUUCAGGAUACAGUAAUCCUGUAGCCACUACCACAAGAAAUGUGUUAGAGAUAGCAAACACUACAGGUUUGGAUGGUGGUUUGUAGACAUGUACAGAUGGUGCAGAUGGACAACCAUUUAGAGGAACCGUCGUUGUCAUGAAGAAUUCAUCAGCCUGUGUCAUCAACAGCACGAGCAGCUUGAACAGUUUGAAGAAGGGCAGUCAGGUGACCAUCAUGGUUUACAUGAAGCAGUAUUUCUGUUCAUCUCCUUCACUGUUUCAACUUGACAAUGCCAAUGCCACCCUCUCUCGAACACCAACCGGGUUAGAUGAUAAAGAAGGAAAUGUGACCAUAUCAGUGACGCAAACUGAAACCCUCGAUUUGUACAUGGUGUGUGGAGGUGUUCGCUUCAAACAGAAUUGUG